rnacentral:rRNA from 1 species
UUCUAUGGCCAUGCUACCCUGAACAAGCCCGAUGCCAUCUGAUCUCGGAAGCUAAGCAGGGUCAGGUCUGCUUAGUUUUUGGAUAAGAGACCACCUAGGAAGACCAGGUGCUAUAGGUG